CUUAAUGUGCUUCUGAGAGUGAGAAGCAUUGCCUCUGUGGACUCGGUGGUCUGGUCGAAGUCUGGUCAUCAGGGCCCGGACUGGAGGAGAGCGUUCUUUGACAUCAGCCCCAGUGGACCCUUUCAGAUUGUGUUCGAGGGAAUUCGAGGCCCGAGUUUCGAGGGGGAUAUUGCCAUUGACGACGUGUCUAUCACCAUCGGGAAGUGCAAGCAGGACACUGUAUCCAGCGCAGGUAAGACAGUUCUGAUUGGUGGAUCCCGCUCACUCCCAUUGGCCAGGUGGCUGACCUUCGGCCUCUCCUGCUUCCUGUUGCUACUCUACAGAUGAUGAUCACUUCCUGCGACACCCCCCGUCUGUAGUGACAGACACUGCCCUGACUCACGCUCUUAUACUUCUCUCUCUACCCUUCUCCCUGUCCUUUCCUCCACAUACAUGUCUCCUUAACUCUCCUUUUCCACUCUAUGUGUUCCUAUCCUUUGUGCAUCCAUGUCAGCCUUCUUGCAUAGAUAGAGUCUUUGUCUAGUUUCUCCUCCUCUGCUUUCUUUGAACCUUUCCCCCCAGACACUCAGUAAACCAACUGCUGUGCCUACUGUAUUUAAGGUGAACAUACUUAAUGAUAUUUGACGGUUACAAUUCACCUUCCCUCCUUUGUCUCUCUAUUAAUCUGAUUAGAAUAACUUUACCCAUGUCAGCGUGUCACUUCCUCACCUUUACCUCUCCUUCAUCCACCCUUUUAUCAUCCAUACAUGUUCCCUUUCAUGUAUCUCCCCCUCCCUCAAACCGCAAUCCUCAACGGCCCCUCCCACCCUAUUCCCCCAGACACACCAAAGUGUCGGACGCUCUACCAAAGAUGACAAAGGACCUGAGGGAAUAAAACGAAGGAACAGGAUUCCAGGAAGGAAGUGUAAGAGAGAGAAAAAGAGGGUUAAACCGUUCUUCUUCUUCACAAGACUGUCUCCCAUCGGUCCCAAACUCUGGGACGUUGGGAGCUAACGAAUGAUAAAGGGACGGACUAAAAGAAAGAAACUGAUGAUUGAAUGAAUACAUAAAUGAAUGCUGAGAAAAGGACGAGCCAGAAACAGAGGAAAUAGAAGUGUGCUCCUGGUAGCCUCUCUGCUUGCCCUCCGCUUGCCACAAGAGACGAACCUCAGCGCGGAUUAUACGUGUACAUUUAUCUCUAUAUAUGUAUUAAAUAUAACAAAGUUUAAACUUAAACACAACUAGGACAGUGGAGGACUUUACAAAGUGAAAUUAAAGAAGCACAAUGUUUAUACAACCUCUGCUGUACCUUUGGGUUUUAUUCUACUUAUUAUGUGAUGUUGCAAUUUGUCAGACCUAUUCAAUGUUUUUGAUAUUUUGCUUUUUGUUGUUCUUUGGUUCAUGGCGUAACGAAGGGUCAAAGGGAACGGGUAAUAAAGUAUUAUAUUAAUAUUUAUGAGAAGAAGAGAAGAUGAUUCGUGAUCGAGAACCAGAAUUGAGCACGAGGAGGGGAAAAGCAAAGUUGACCCAAGCCAACUGGAAUGGAAACCUCAACUUGAAUUGGCACGUACUGAACACACACACACACACACACACACACACACACACACACACACUUUUUUCCUUGCUGACAUCACAGCCAGGCCCUCAGCUCACCCUCUGCCUCAAAACAUGUCUCCUCUAUGGAUGAAACAAAAAGAAAACCACAGUUGAUAGAUACAACCUUCACGUUUCUGCGCCCUAACCAUGAACUCCGCAUCACUGGACAUCAUUACUGGUCAUGUCCGGAUUGACGAGCCACAACUGAAAAGCAGGACAUGUUAUUUCUCAUGAAAUGGAAAACAAGGUGUCGUCGAAGAGGGCCACAAAGAGCGUUCAGUUGAAUAUUUCUAUCUCCACAGGUAAUUGAAUGUUAUGUAUGAAUUUCCCAUGCAGUGAAAAAAACUGUCAGAUUGUUAGCAGCAAGGAUUGCAUAUCAGAUUUUCUGUUUUGUUUAAUUAAUGUCUGUAGUUUAAACUGUUUUUCAUAAUAACAUAAAUAUGAUGGUUCAAGUUAAGCAAUACUCAUAUCGAUAGAUCUGAAUACAAACCUUUAUGAUUGCAUUUGAGAUGGCAGUUCAGAAGGGAAGGGAUUUUUUUCUAAAUACAAUUGUAGUCAUCAUUCAUAAAGUUCAAUAAAGAAGCUGUAGCUAUUGUAAUCAUAUCGAUAGUAUGUUUUCAAUGUUCUCCAUUACGCUUGAACCUAUCUCAAGAAAGCUCCAAAUUCACAUGUUACGCUUUUGCAGUAAGUGAUCUACUUGUUAUGCUGAUCUUCUUCAUUACCAUGUACAUCACAUGUGAAUCAAUCAUGAACACCAUAUGUACUUUUGUCUAUGUUAUUUCAAAUUGAUUUGAUCACUUUUGUGGUUGCUUUUUCUUAAUUGUGGUUGUUACAAAUUGUAUUGUUGGCUUUACAAUCAUAAGUAGUGCAGAACAUACAUAAAUGACGUGCCUAAUAGAUUGUUCCACUUUGGUGUGAGUAGCAAUUUCUUUGUUAAGCUGGCACUGCUGGCUGCUGUACAGUAUGAGUAUAACAUCAUACUGUAUCAAUGACAACUCAGUCACUCCAUGCUGCGUAAGGCAUGUUGGAUUAACCUGUGAAGCUCUGUGUCAGUGGUGUAUUAUAUGAACUUGGGAGCCCUCUGAAACCUGCAGACUCUCAAUAAUCCUGUACAUUAGCUCCAUCUCCAUUUACUGUACAUCUCAUGGCAGGUUGCAACUGAAUGUUACAACCACUCCAUUUGAGUGACAUGCUUUCCUGUCAAUGUAGCUUUGUCAUGCUGCAAUCGUAGACUGUAAAUGUAUGCUGAAAAUAUUUUAAACCUUUUAAAAUAUUUCCCACGCACAUCAAGACAAAACAGGUGUAUGUUUUUAGGUAUUUAUUACAACAACUCAAUGUUCACCUUCCUAAAUGGCUAAGGGAUAAGGAUGUUGUAUUUAAAUGAGCUUAAGUUUAACUUUUAGAAAUGUCAUGAAGCAUUAAUGUGCAUGGCAUUUUCAUUGUGCUUACUGUCAAAGUGUUCUUCAUAUUUCCUCAUAUUUCAAUGGCAGUGGUAACAGAGACUAAUUACUUCUGUCAUUUUUGCAUUUUGACAUGCGACAGCUGCGAAUUAACUGACAGAAUACUGUGGAAACCUCAGAUGUAUUGUCUGAAACAUUGUUAUAUUUUCAAAAUGAAAAGAAACACACUUUGAGGGGCAACUUUAAGCUCAAGUUCAAAGUGAAAGAAGACAUUUAUUCAUUUCACCUACCCUGAGAUCACAAUAUCAAGGCAUGACAUACAGAUGUGCAGAUAAUCUGACCAAUAUGUUAUUAUCAUUAUGUUGCCUGGUGAAGCAACACAUGGUCACUUUACCAAUGGUUUAUCUCAAGUUGGGAAACUAACUGUUACUGUAUUCAUCUACUCCGAUAUAAUGUUUUUUUUUUGCACAAAUGAAUCAUCAAAAUGCUUCUAUACUGGCACACUACAGUCCACUCUGAGGCAUCACAAGCACUGCGUAUUUCCCAGGUGAUGACUGCCCAAAGGGAAGUUUAAAGAUAAUCAAGCAAUCAUCCUUUUUUGGGUUUUGAUAUCAAGCAUUUAAAUGCUUUAGAAAUUGCCAUUACAUAAUAUUUAGAGUGUAAGCACACCUGUAGCAACACUAACAUUUGCCCAUGUGGUAUCUAGGAUACAUACAAUAUGAGGCUUUCAUAUAUCAUAUAUCUAAAAUCAUCGCAUAUAGUUCAAUUGACAUUAUUAUUUCAGUACAAAAUAAUCAUGUGCUUCGUUUGUUUAAAAAAAAAACAUCUGUCAAUAAAAUAAAAAUGAACAGCAAUGAAAAGCUUCUGUCAAUGAUAAUAUUAUCUGUCCGGGGGUAAAAUGCUUUAGUAGCAAACAAACAUCUUAAACAUGCGGAUCGUCAUGCAGUGCUGAAACUAAGAGCAAUGAGAUGUGUAGCACAGCUGUUAGUUAGCAUGCAACAGACAUGUAAUACAUCUGGAUUGGAGAAGAGGUUCAAGGUAUAUCAAAACAUAUCUGUGUUACCAUAUUGAAUCCAAGUCAACUUCACAAAAAUAAUUUCCUGUGGCUUUUAACCAGCAUACAUAGUGUGAUGGAACAACACUUACUGUAUGCUGGUUAGGUUGAAAGCACCUACAGAUUGUACAUGAUUUUACUUCUAGUUUGUAAUUGUGUUAUAAAGUCAGACCAAAGACAAGACAACUAGCUAAAAGUGUAUCACAUGAAUUAGUGCUGGAAAUGAACAGAUUCAUUUUCUCUUUUCUGGUAGAUAACACAAUGCAUCUACUUCAAAUCUCAAGAGAAGUGUUUUCCAAAAUGUAACAUCUAAAGGGUAUUUAUAUUCCUUAUAAGGAAUACACUUGUUUGAGUCAUUUACAUUAGAGCAACUUUUCCACUUCCUGUACGUGCUCAUCAUCUGUUUACUGAGCCCCAGUAGAGUUACACUUUUAUGACAAACUGACUGUUAAUUAUCCACUUACUGUUUACCAUCUGUACUAUCUUCAACUGAUUCGAGUUGACGUCCAAGAGACUGUACGGACCUACUCAGCCUCUAUUCCCUCCUUGACUGCAAAAGCUGCCAAAACAGAGAGGAACAGUUUGGCAAUAGAACCACGUUUCCUUCUGGCAACACAAAUACAUAAAGGUAGAUGUUCAAUAGUGAUUUUUCUGGUUUGUGGGAAAUAAGAUGAUGUGAAACAAUCAGCGUCUGAGUGCUGGCAACAGUCCUGGCUUCCCUGUUAUGUUACGUAAUCUCAUGAGUGUUUUGCGCCCCUGUUUUACAGACUGCAAUGACCUUGUUCACAAAACGCUGCGUGUGACCCUUGCCCUGUCUUCCCAAAAACAGGUGAAAAGCAAAACAUUUCAAAAUAUGUGUUGGAUUGAUAUUGUUUUGUAAACUUCUCCUUCUGAUCAAAGUCUGGGACAAAAAAAGUUAUUGACUUCUAGAGGACUUUUUUGACACAUGACAGUGUGGUAUUUCAACAAGCAGCUUCUGAAUGAUGAGCCUUAAUACCUUAUAUAAGACUUUUUUAGGCCUCACCUGAAUAUUGUAAUUCACUGUGACAAGCAUUGUCUUCGCAUUAAGUACGUUUUGGGAAUCAGUGCAUGAGUCACAGUAGUUGUCCACAUGCUGAGUGCCAGGUCGACAGCAUAGCCUUCAUCGGUCUGUGUUUCAAUCCAUUUUUGGAACAGAAGAUUUGAAAUGCACCUUUAAUGUGUAAAAAAGGGAGAGGGGUAUCAAACAGUGCCGGGUGUUGUAUAUUGCUGUCAUGUACUAAAGUAUUU